rnacentral:rRNA from 1 species
GACGAACGCUGGCGGCGCGCUUAACACAUGCAAGUCGAGCGAUAACCAUGGCUUCGGCCAUGGGGAGAGCGGCGAACGGGUGAGUAACACGUGAGCGAUCUGCCCUCGACACCGGGAUAGCCCGGGGAAACCCGGAUUAAUACCGGAUGGCCUCUCGAGCCCACGGGCUCGUUAGAAAAGAUGGCUUCGGCUUUCGGUCGAGGAGGAGCUUGCGGCGGGUUAGCUUGUUGGUGGGGUAACGGCUCACCAAGGCGACGAUCCGUAGCUGGUCUGAGAGGACGAUCAGCCACACUGGGACUGAGACACGGCCCAGACUCCUACGGGAGGCAGCAGUGGGGAAUCUUGCGCAAUGGGCGAAAGCCUGACGCAGCGACACCGCGUGAGGGAAGAAGGCCUUCGGGUUGUAAACCUCUUUCAGGAGGGACGAAGCCACUCGGGUUAAUAGCCCAGAGGGUGACGGUACCUCCAGAAGAAGCCCCGGCUGACUACGUGCCAGCCGCCGCGGUAACAC